CGUCGACGUACGGUCGCGAGUCGCGAUCGCUCCGUGUUUUCGCGCUUUUUUUAUCCGUGUCGACGAGUAGGAUCGGAGAAUCCGGAAGUAGAUUCCGAGAAUCUAACGCCGGGCGAUCACUUCCGGUGCCGACAGUAAUCGGCCGAUCGCAAUUAAUACGUCUGUCGGCACCGGUCUAAUAAUCCUUCGUUCGCGUUUCGCCGGCUCCGGCGUUCGUCGAGAUAUCCGUCCGCAUCGCCGAUUAUACGCUCGUCCGGAUGCCAUCGCGAGUGACAUUCGGUUUUCGGGAUGUCCGGGGCUCCGAGAGACUCGUCACGACCGAUCAGCUCGCUUUUUCGAUUAUGAUAUUCGCAUAUCUCCGCUCAAUCUCAAGUAGUCAUUCUUCGCGUCGGCCAUAUUGCUGAUUCUCCGCAUCUUCGCGUCUCUCGCGCGGUGCAUGUCGGGAGUGCUCGGGAGUGUCGAAGGAUCGGCUGACAGUUCGCUUCCGCGUCUCUCCGUCACGAAUAUUAUUCGAACACCGAGGAGCACCGUGACGAAUUACUCGGACAAGGUGACUACGCUCUCGAUUACGAUACUCGCAUAACUUCGUAAUAUCCAGAGCUCUUCGGAAUUUCGUGUCGACCGAGCAUGCGUCGUGCAUCUCGACAAUACCGAAGAAUCUGACAGAUUCAAUCGAUCGCGAUCGAGGUGCUCUUGUGACAGUACGUAAACAAAGUCGCGUCUCGUUGGAGAAACAAUCGUGCACGCGUCUUUUCGCGAGUGUGAGUGAGUGUGAUCAAGAAACGUUCCGCUUUAAUGUGCGACUUUAAUCGGUCGCGAACGAACACGUUUCUUAAAGAGUGAGGACGAUGUCAUUGCGUAGCGCAAGAGAGGUUAGACGCGAAUACGCGUGUCUCCUGUCAGAUUUCCGCGAGUGUUAUAUAAGGACGAUCGCGUUUUACUGUGUGUGAUAUUCAGUCAAUUCCUUUUCUCGAUAUCAAUCACGUUCCAUCGAAUUCGUGACUGUCGGAAAAAUUUUGUUUAUGAAUACGCACGUUUAUCGCGAGUGCAAUCGAAAAGCAUGAACGCAUCGCGAGUGAAUUGAGAGGCGUCGAUAAACAUGGAGGGAUUGUUUUAAUGGAUUAAUCGAGAGCCCCGAAUGGAUUAAUAAUGGAUUACAUAAUGGAUUAAAAGCUGUUUCUUCGCAACGUUCCGGUGACGAUUUUAUUCUACGUUGAACAAGAAGACCGCGAGUGGAUGCGCCGACAUCGGCGGGAAUGCUGGCGAAAGGACAGGAGACGCGGAAACGUAAUAAAGCCGAUAUAGUCUAAGGACGGCGAGGACAGAUUGGGAAGUAACUGAACGACCGAAAGCGAAGUCGAAAGAGAAAUGGACAAGGGUGUGGACGACAGCGCGUGGGAGGACAGAGGCGGCAAAUUGAAGCUCGGGUACUUGCAAGAUUUUUACGCGUAUCUCAUGGAAAGGAGUGAAGGAUGAAAAGGGGGUUGCUGCGACUCACGGGCAAAGAGGUAUGAAA